rnacentral:misc_RNA from 1 species
UCUCCGUUGGUGAACCAGCGGAGGGAUCAUUACUGAGUUUACGCUCUAUAACCCUUUGUGAACAUACCUAUAACUGUUGCUUCGGCGGGUAGGGUCUCCGCGACCCUCCCGGCCUCCCGGCCCUCCCGUCCGCGGGUGGGGCGCCCGCCGGAGGAUAACCAAACUCUGAUUUAACGACGUUUCUUCUGAGUGGUACAAGCAAAUAAUCAAAACUUUUAACAACGGAUCUCUUGGUUCUGGCAUCGAUGAAGAACGCAGC